ensembl:lncRNA
GAGUAGCCGGAGCCCAGGCCGCCCGCGGGAAGACGCAGCUCGACGGCACCGGGUUCGGUACUGGGAGAGUGGCUAUCCCUGCUGUGUUCGCUGUAUUUGUGACGAAUCAUACAGGGACAUCCAGUUUUUCAGUAUCAAAUACUGCUCGGGAGCACUCCCUGGACCGUGUCCUGCCGUCAGGAAGGGGGGCUUGCUUCAGAACCCAGCCCCUGCCGAGGUACGUACGUGGAUGGCCGAUGGCAGGGCACCUGCCUCCUCCUCGGUGGGUGUCGCCCAUCGCCCAUGCGACCAGAAUCCGGUCCCUGGGGAAGGGCAGCCUAAGAAGGCAGUGGCUGUGCUCGAUGGACGGAGCCCUCACCGGCCGCCCUUCCUGCUGCAGCCCCAGGGCCAACUCCUUUUGAGAGCCAGCGCCUCCCCGGGAAGGCUGUCUGGGAGCGGGGCCGCUCUCUGCGAGCCACGGCUGUGCCGCUGGUGUGCGUGGGGACGUGGAGCCGAACCCAGGUCCUGAUGGGGCCCGCUGUGGUGACUGCGCUGGGGGAGGGAAGCCUGCUCUGACCACCGGGCUUGUCCGAUGGGGGUCUCAGCCUGCUCUGACCACCGGGCUUGUCCGAUGGGGGUCUCUCUCAUUCUGUAUCAUAUUCUCUCAAUGCUAGUGUCUCCCCACGGCCCGCAAGGGACGGUUCAGUGAGCCCACAGACCAGGAUGGACUGUUCUGGCUGAUGCUGGACCUCAGCCUGAGCUGUGGACAAGACACACACUCUGGGGGGCGAGGCGGACGGCGACACGUGUGUUAGGGGACAUCACGUCACCUACGGUUCGGUGUUAGAGCAAGAAGGAACAGGAUGGCAGAAAGAGGCAGGGAACAGCAUGAGGACACAGCGACUGCUGGUGACGGGCUGUGGCUCCACGUGUGUCACACAGGAGUGGAGUGUGGGAGUGGGAGACGGGGUCUCCUGCUGAGCUCUGGGCACCCGGAUGGGCUUCAGACCUGGUCCCAUGGCCCAAAGGUCUUCUGGGGCGGAUGGACAGUGGUUUUUGUUCAGCACCCUUCUUGGAAUUGCUUUCUUUGGCAGUUCUUGGGGGUGAGAUGGGUGGCGGAGCAGGGGGAGCCUCUCACAGACCCCCCAAGGGUGCCCCCUGAGCUGCCUGCCCGAUCUCUGCAGGAGGCCCUGCGGGGGCCCUGGGUGGCUCCCACGGGAGCACCCCUCACCCCAGUUCAUGGGCCCCACAGGCUGUGGCGCCAGUGGCUGACCGUUCUGUCGAGAGAUCCAGGCCCUGGGGCCACACCCCCACGGAGGACUCUGCACCUGCGACAGAAACCUCUACGCUCGGCGGCGUGGACUCGGCCUCACUGCAGGGGAGGUGGCGCGUGCAGGACGGCGGCUGGAGUACCAAAUGCUACCUCUAAGGACCCGCCGGACAACCAGGGCAACUCCAGGAAAGCCGGGCCUCUCUCAGCCGCGUGGAGCCGGGCACCGACGGCUGGCCGCGGACAGCGCUCGCUCGACCUCCCUGUAAGUCGCCCGAUCCGGUCCGUCUGCGGGAGGCCUUCCAUGGCCGUGCCACCGGCGUUGCCUCCGAAGACUGGGAAGAGCAGUGUCCUGGGCUCCGGGCCAGCUGUGGAAGAGAUGUUGGUGCCAGCACCAUCCAGGGAAGACAUCGGAGACCUCGCCGCUGCUGGAGAAGUGGCCGUGGACAUAGUGGGACUGCGCGGUGGACCUGCACGAGCCGUGGCCGUGGGGGUGUGCGGUUACUUAGAUGCAAGGAGUCCUCCUUGGGAGCUCGCUCAGCCUCCACCAGCUGGUGACUUCCCAGGAGGGACGGAACGUGGGCCAGCCCCACUCCUGGGUGUGUGGCUGCAAAACACGUGCAUCAUGUUAUCACGCGUGUCUCCCAGCCCCCUAACCCCCAGCACCCCGUUUCUCCAUAGCAGGAGCCCCCCGGGGUGCUGGCCGUGA